AAAAAGACAAACCUGGUUUCCAUGCCCAACGUUUGACCGUCUGUCUUAUUUGAAAAAAUUAUGAAAAAAUUUAAAAAGACAAAUCACGCAUAAAAUAUUAAUCAUGUUUUAUCAUCUAACAACAAUAAAAAUACGAAUUAUAAAAAAAUUUCAUAUAAGACGGACAGUCAAAGUUGGACACGGAAACCCAGGGUUUGUCCUUUU
rnacentral:pre_miRNA from 1 species